rnacentral:rRNA from 1 species
AUUGAACGCUGGCGGCAGGCUUAACACAUGCAAGUCGAGCGGAGAUGAGGUGCUUGCACCUUAUCUUAGCGGCGGACGGGUGAGUAAUGCUUAGGAAUCUGCCAUUUAGUGGGGGACAACAUUCCGAAAGGAAUGCUAAUACCGCAUACGUCCUACGGGAGAAAGCAGGGGAUCUUCGGACCUUGCGCUAAAUGAUGAGCCUAAGUCGGAUUAGCUAGUUGGUGGGGUAAAGGCCUACCAAGGCGACGAUCUGUAGCGGGUCUGAGAGGAUGAUCCGCCACACUGGGACGGGGACACGGCCCAGACUCCUACGGGAGGCAGCAGUGGGGAAUAUUGGACAAUGGGCGGAAGCCUGAUCCAGCCAUGCCGCGUGUGUGAAGAAGGCCUUUUGGUUGUAAAGCACUUUAAGCGAGGAGGAGGCUACCUGGAUUAAUACUCUGGGAUAGUGGACGUUACUCGCAGAAUAAGCACCGGCUAACUCUGUGCCAGCAGCCGCCGCAGUAA